CCCUGUAUCGAAAGGUGACGGCAGCCUCCCUGUGGCUGCCGUCAUUAUUAAUACAGGCAGAUAAAGCUGAGAGCUUUCCCGUGUUUGAAGGAGCGCAGCUUCCUCUCAGACCCUGACGCUCUCAGACA